rnacentral:misc_RNA from 1 species
CAAAAGAAGAGAUUCAUAGUUCCAUUUUCAGUCUUGAAUCAGCCUUCAUUCCAAGAAUUGCUGAGAAAGGCAGAGGAAGAAUUUGGAUUUGAUCACCCAAUGGGCGGUCUUACACUUCCUUGCAGAGAAGACAUCUUCCUUGACACUAUUUCAGGCUUGAAUUCAUUGUGAUAUAAAGAAACAAAUCAGAAAAAUCAGUUUUGUAAAAUCAUUGUACAUUUUGUCCAUUUUUUUUUAUAGAUGAUAAUAGAAAUUUGAGCAGUUGUUCUUACUUUCUCUGCAUCAAUUUUAG